AGGUUUUAUCAAUCCCAUCAAUAUGGGUAUCAAAUGAAAGGGCUCAACAAGCAGAAUACAAUAUACUAUAAAAAAUUGAAAUACAAGAUGGCGGCCGCUACAAAAUGGCGGAUAACGUAGGUUUUAUCGAUCCCAUCAAUAUGGGUAUCAAAUGAAAGUGCUCAACCAGUAUAAUCAAUGUACUAUAUAAAAUUAAAAUACAAGAUGGCGGCCUCUACAAAAUGGCGGAUAACUUAGGUUUUAUCGAUCCCAUCAAUAUGGGUAUCAAAUGAAAGUGCU
rnacentral:misc_RNA from 1 species